UACAGAGGGUGCGAGCGUUAAUCGGAGUGACUGGGCGUAAAGGGCACGUAGGCGGUUUAUUUAGUCUGAUGUGAAAUCACUAGGCUUAACCUGGUAUCUGCAUUGGAAACGGAUAAGCUAGAGUAUUGGAGAGGGAAGUGGAAUUUCCGGUGUAGCGGUGAAAUGCGUAGAGAUCGGAAAGAACACUCGUGGCGAAGGCGACUUCCUGGCCAAAUACUGACGCUGAGGUGCGAAAGCGUGGGUAGCAAACAGG
rnacentral:rRNA from 1 species